rnacentral:ribozyme from 12 species
GGGAGAAGGAAACGAAAAUGAAAAUGAAUCAUCCAAACCACUGGGAUGAAAUGUCUUUCCUUUCGAACUGUUUCCUCUUUUCUCCUUUUCCUUUUCCUUUUCCUUUUCCU